GACGUAGGGCGCGAGCGUUGUCCGGAUUUAUUGGGCGUAAAGAGCUCGUAGGCGGCUUGUCGCGUCGUCCGUGAAAACCCGCGGCUCAACUGCGGGCCUGCAGUCGAUACGGGCAGGCUAGAGUUCGGUAGGGGAGACUGGAAUUCCUGGUGUAGCGGUGAAAUGCGCAGAUAUCAGGAGGAACACCGGUGGCGAAGGCGGGUCUCUGGGCCGAUACUGACGCUGAGGAGCGAAAGCGUGGGGAGCGAACAGG
rnacentral:rRNA from 1 species